GUGCUUGCUUUGGUAGCACAUAUACUAAAAUUGGAAUGAUACAGACAUUAGCAUGGCCCCCGCACAAGGAUGACAUACAAAUUAGUGAAAUGUUCCAUACUUUU